rnacentral:ncRNA from 1 species
AAUAAUCACAACGAUUACUUAACGAGCACACUGCAGAAACCUCACAUAGUAGCGCUAAAAAUAGUGGGGUGGCGGGUCCAGCGGUAGCAUUUACAACGACGGACCAA